UACCGGCGGCUCGAGUGGUGGCCGAUAUUAUUGAGUCUAAAGGGUCCGUAGCCGGCUUGGCAAGUCUCUUGGGAAAUCCUGCGGCUUAACCGCUGGUCGUCCGGGAGAUACUACUUUGCUUGGGACUGGGAGAGGCGUGAGGUACUCAGGGGGUAGGAGUGAAAUCCUGUAAUCCUUUGGGGACCACCGGUGGCGAAGGCGUCACGCCAGAACAGGUCCGACGGUGAGGGACGAAAGCUAGGGGC
rnacentral:rRNA from 1 species